AGGGAGAGAGAGAGAGAGAGAGAGUCUGGUCAUUGACUGAGCUUCCAUAGUAACCCCAAAGUCCACGCCCACCCCCCCAGUAACACACUUUCUCCAACAAGCCCUCACUUACCCCAACAAGGGCACACCUAUUUCAACAAGGCUACAGAUCCUAAUGCCACUCCAUAUGCAUUCAAAUAUAUGAGCCUAUAGAGGCCAUUCCUACUAGAACUAUCACCCUUAUCAAGAACCAGAAAGUCACUGACUCAGAGUAGCUUUGGUGGCCACUGAGUUUUCCAACACUGAAGUUUCCAUUGUUAUCAAAGAUACUUUAAUAUUCCUCUAUCAUCAUGAUCAGAAAUUAUAGCAUUUUAGAAAAAGGAGUAGCAACUAAGGACAAAACUAGUACUUGUGAUUUUUAUUCUUAAAUGUUAACUAUAAAUAUACUGUGUGACUAGUCACAGAUGUGAGAGUCAAGAGGGAUACUGAGACAGAUUGUUGAGGGUGAGAAGUUUAAUUAGAAAAGUUAGUAAUGUCAUGGGAAGACAGAUGAAAGUACAUACAGAGAGCAAUUAAUCUUCAUGAAGCAGGAGUGUGGGGGUUUUGUUACUGUACACUGCACUAGGGCAGGGACUGGGUAAAAAUGCAAUAGGGGAGCUCAGCCUAGGAAUUUAUACUGGCAGCUUUACAGAGUGGCUUAUUUGGGGGAAAGAUGCACAAGUUACAGAACAGCCCGUGAUGCCGUAUUUGCAACUCCUUAUUUGUAAGAACUAUUGUACAUCCAUGACAGCAAAAUCUAAAUCCAGUUUAAAACAAAGCAGGUACUUUACUCAAACAGCUGAAGCUGCUUUCAUCUGAACAGCAGUACAUACCCCCUUAGGUAGAGCAGUUUGGUUAAGAACAGAGUGAAAAAUCUAGUACAUUACAACAUCUAGAACUUGGCUGUACAAAUGCACAGCAGAGAGAAAGAAUUAAGAGACAUGGUGACAGAUUAAGUAGAAGGUCCAACACAUGAGUUUAUUUUGGUCCUGGUGCACCUGGAUAAGAAAGGAGUAGGAGAGCAGAGCAUAAUAGAUGUAACAUCAACAGUACACAGCGGCAUGUUCAUAAUAUAAAGUAAAAGCCCAAGUUACUACACAGCAAACCAGUGCAUUUCUACUGUGAUGAAAUCUAAAUUCCAUUUGAAAGUGAAGCAGACUGGUUUGCUCUUACAACUCUGAUUUUGCCUGCAUAAGAACAACAAUACAUUUUUUUACUAUGUAAUACCACUUUGUUAAAAUCACAGGUUAAAGCAAAGAAGAGAAAGCUCUAUUAUUUGCCUCGGGUAAUAUAUAACAGUCCUCCUUCCACUCCUUGCCUUUUGUUUGGGGCAAAUCUAGUAGGAAUUGGCUAAGCAGUCUUUCAGGAAGGCUCAGCAGAUGUCCAGCUUCUGCUAGGAACUUUAGUUCACAGAUCCGUUUUUCAUCCACAAAACU
rnacentral:lncRNA from 1 species